rnacentral:rRNA from 1 species
UACAGGGGGUGCAAACGUUGCUCGGAAUUAUUGGGCGUAAAGCGCGCGUAGGCGGCUACUUAAGUCGGAUGUGAAAGCCCUUGGCUCAACUGAGGAAGUGCACCCGAAACUGAGUGGCUUGAGUAUUAAAGAGGGUCGCGGAAUUCCCGGUGUAGAGGUGAAAUUCGUAGAUAUCGGGAGGAACACCGGUGGCGAAGGCGGCGACCUGGGUAGAUACUGACGCUGAGGCGCGAAAGCGUGGGGAGCAAACAGG